rnacentral:rRNA from 1 species
GACGAACGCUGGCGGCGUGCUUAACACAUGCAAGUCGAACGGAAAGGCCUCUUUCGGGGGGUACUCGCGUGGCGAACGGGUGAGUAACACGUGAGUAACCUGCCCUUGACUUUGGGAUAUCUUCAGAAAACUGUGGCUAAUACCGGAUAGGAGCUCCUGCUGCAUGGUGGGGGUUGGAAAGUUUCGGCGGGUGGGGAUGGACUCUCGGCUUAUCAGCUUGUUGGUGGGGUAGUGGCUUACCAAGGCUUUGACGGGUAGCCGGCCUGAGAGGGUGAACGGCCAAAAUGGGACCGGGAAUAGGGCCAGAACCCGAAGGGGGGGAGCAGGGGGGAAAAAUGCAAAAAGGGGGGGAGCCGGAUGCAGGAAAGGCGUGGGCGGGAGGAAGGCCUUUGGGUUGGAAAACGGCUUCGGUCAGGACGAAGCUGUGUGUGACGGUAGUGGGUAAAGAAGCACCGGCUAACUACGUG